GCCUUGUCGAACAGUGGUGCAAAACUGGUUUCUUUGGCUGGAAUGCACCAGCCAAAUGUAAUGCAUCAGAUCUGAAAAACAGUGCAGAGCAGCUUCCAGUAUGAAACUUUUAAUGUGGAUCACAGGGAAUUUUUAAUCUUCGGUUCUGCAAAGGUUAAUAUCCUGUCCUAACUGAUUAAGUCAUGAAGGGGCAGCAGAGCAGUGCUGGCUUCUUAGAGAAUACCACUGCCAUCCUCUGUGUCAAUGAUGAGGGCCAAUGUGUGGGACAUUGGUAAGAAGUGGCAUGGACCUCUGCCAGCAAAGGCUGUACACCGCAGUAUAUGCACUGCCUGGAUAGGUAACUGGCUAUCCCCCUAUGGCUGUUUGGGGGAAUCUAUGUACCAUUUAUGAAUUCCAGUUUGAGAUUAUGAACUCUCUGUAUGUAUCUUUAUCAAGCUGCAAGC